GUCAUACAUGAUAUUCUGGGUCUGGAAAAGAAGAUUGAGAAGACAGAAACAAAGAAAUAAGAGGCUUCAUCACUCUUGCCUCAGAAGAAAACUGUCAACUCUUCCAGCUUCAACACUAGCCUCUUGCUGGUGACAGCUUCACUGAUGUUUGAAGAUGAUAAAUGAACUGACUGAGAGAGUCAUUCAGAAUACAGGCAUUUUGUUCUGGUUGAGCCACGGACACAGAGAGCACUAACUUCACUUUUACUACAUUCUUGGGAAAAGUGAACAACAUCCAUUCAUUCGAAAAUACUGAACUCUUACGGCAUGUAUCAUCCUGUGGUCAGAAGUGGCUUUUACUUAUGGAGGAACAAUUAAAAAAGCAGAUAAAUCUUUUGGAUAUGACAAAGAACUAGAAAACUAUGAAUGUACUUGGUUAAUAAAAUGGAGAAAACCAUAAAAAGUCACUGCUUUCAAAGGGCAUGCACAAAAUCCACAAGAGCAAAUAACUGCAUGGAUAAUGCCUUGAGUAUUUGGGGGGUAAAGUCCACACUGGUUAUGUGUCUGGUACAAUGAGAAGCAUGCUUCCCCAACACCGCAAAAAAGAAAGGAGAGCAAGAGAUGAGAUGUCCUCAGGACAACCAUGUACCAGGGCUGAGAGAAACAGGACAGUAAGCAGACAGAUUAGAAGGCACCUGGGGGAACUGGACCAGACUGAUGCACAAACAUCCUAGAACCGAGAGAACAGCCAGCGUGCAUAUUCCAUGUCAUCUAGGUAAGCAGCAAGCUGACUUGGGUAUAGCUCGUGUUAAACAUGUCCAUGGUGUUAAGUGGGCAUCAUGGGAUACACAAUUUGUACAUAGACAUGUGUACUCAUGAAAACACACACACACACACACACACACACACACACACACACACACACACACACACACAGGAAAGAUCCUUGUAAUUAAGAAGACUAUCGAGAUCUAGAGAACAACUCUAAACUAUUUCCAAGAGGAAAUCCAGCAGUUCUAGAGCUAACUAAGAGGCCCGGGAACAUAGUUUGAUGGAACAAUGUUUGCCUAGCAUCUAACAGGUUCCAUGCUAGAUCCCUAGGACUGAAACCGUAGAAAAUAGCAAAAUAAGGGAAGGGAAGGGAGGAGAAUGAUCUCCAGGACACAUGUCUCCUCCCUACUGACUGCCCUGUACCUCGUGCUAGCAUAUGCUGAACUUAAGGAAAAUAGAAACGUUUUCUCUGUCCGACUCAUUUCCGUGUUUAAUUGAAAUCCUUCACCGGAAAUUCUUUUGAAAGGCACACUAAUAAUCAAGUAUUUGGUAAUUGCUCAAACCAAGGCUAUAGGAGAGAUGGCAGUGGCGAUAACACCAGUCCAGAUGCCUUUGUAUGACUCCCCAAGGUGUCAAGGCUACCUGGUAUCACAU